UACGUAGAGGGCUAGCGUUGUUCGGCUUUACUGGGCUUAAAGCGUACCUAGGCGGCUUUCUAAGUCAGGGGUGAAAUCCUGGAGCUCAACUCCAGAACUGCCUUUGAUACUGGAGAGCUAGAGUCCGGAAGAGGUGAGUGGAACUGCGAGUGUAGAGGUGAAAUUCGUAGAUAUUCGCAAGAACACCAGUGGCGAAGGCGGCUCACUGGUCCGGUACUGACGCUGAGGUGCGAAAGCGUGGGGAGCAAACAGG
rnacentral:rRNA from 1 species